rnacentral:rRNA from 1 species
UGGGGAAUUUUGCACAAUGGGGGAAACCCUGAUGCAGCGACGCCGCGUGAUUUAAAAGGCCUUCGGGUUGUAAAAAUCUUUUCUAUGGGAAGAAAAUGACAGUACCAUAGGAAUAAGGACCGGCUAAUUACGUGCCAGCAGCCGCGGUAAUACGUAAGGUCCGAGCGUUGUCCGGAAUCAUUGGGCGUAAAGGGUACGUAGGCGGGUAAGCAAGUUAGAAGUGAAAUCCUAUAGCUCAACUAUAGUAAGCUUUUAAAACUGCUCAUCUUGAGGUAUGGAAGGGAAAGUGGAAUUCCUAGUGUAGCGGAGAAAUGCGCAGAUAUUAGGAGGAAUACCGGUGGCGAAGGCGACUUUCUGGCCAUAACCUGACGCUGAGGUACGAAAGCGUGGGUAGCAAACAGG